UACGUAGGGACCAAGCGUUGUCCGGAAUCAUUGGGCGUAAAGAGCGUGUAGGCGGCUUGUUAAGUCUUGCGUGAAAUCUCGGGGCUCAACCCCGAGCGGUCGUGAGAAACUGGCAGGCUAGAGUGCGGGAGAGGAGAGUGGAAUUCCUGGUGUAGCGGUGAAAUGCGCAGAUAUCAGGAAGAACACCCGUGGCGAAGGCGGCUCACUGGCCCGAUACUGACGCUGAGGCACGAAAGCGUGGGGAGCAAACAGG
rnacentral:rRNA from 1 species